GAUGGUGAUACACAGCUGCUUUGAAAGAUAAUAAACGAAACCAUGCCCAAAUGAGCUAUGCUUCUGUUGUGCAGAGACAACAGGCUGCCUCGCUAAACGAUGCACACCUGUAACUCACGUGACCCUGGUUAUUAUUGAAACAAGAACGAGGGCGUCGUGCCUUUAUAAGACUGCGUUAAUAGUUCCGUAGAGUUAUCCCUUCCGUUGUUGUUUAUUGAUUGUUAAACAUGGCGUCAUUUGCAAAGGUGGUUGUGUGUGUCCUCAUUGCUUGUGACUGUAAUGCAUUCGGUUUUCCGAAGAGAGAUGUGAACUUAAAGGCCUCUGCAGUUGACCGCCAAAGUGAUGAUGUGGUUGUCACCACAACACCCGUUCCCCACAACCAGACCACCUCUGCCCCUACUGAAGCUGGUGGUGGUGCAAGUGAAGAUGCUGUGGCUACUACCCCAGCACCUAAUCCACACAACCAGACAACUUCUGCACAAACUGAAGUUACUGAUGGGGCCAGUGAAGAUGCUGUGGACCGCCAAAGUGAUGUGGUUGUCGCCACAACACCCAAUCCCCACAACCAGACCACAUCUGCCCCUACUGAAGCUGGUGGUGGAGCAAGUGAAGAUGCUGUGGCUACUACCCCAGCACCUAAUCCACACAACCAGACAACUUCUGCACAAACUGAAGUUACUGAUGGGGCCAGUGAAGAUGCUGUGGACCGCCAAAGUGAUGAUGUGGUUGUCGCCACAACACCCAAUCCCCACAACCAGACCACAUCUGUAGCUGGUGGAGAUGGAGCAAGUGAAGAUGCUGUGGCUACCACCCCAACACCAAAUCCCCCAACUACAUCUGACCACACUGCAGCUACCGAUGAUGCAAGUGAGGGUGCUGUGGCUGCCCAAACUGGAGCUACUGUAUCCCAUACGACUGAAGUCUGAUUCGACUGCUCCUCUGGUCACAAUGACCUGUCUGGACUUUUUGCCUCUACAUGUUGACUGCAAUAAAGGACAGAUUUGUAUUUUUUAAUCA
rnacentral:lncRNA from 1 species